AGAGAGAGACAUGCGCGCAUAUCAAUAAGCGGAGGAAAAGAAACUAACAAGGAUUCCCUUAGUAACGGCGAGUGAAGCGGGAAGAGCUCAAAUUUGAAAUCUUCAAGGUUUUACCUUGACGAAUUGUAGUUUAAAGAAGUGUUUUCUGCUGAAGUUUUGGUAAAAGUUCUUUGGAAUAGGACAUCAUAGAGGGUGAGAAUCCCGUAUUUGACCAUUAUUUUCAGCUUUGUGAUACACUUUCAAAGAGUCGGAUUGUUUGGGAAUGCAGUCCAAAAUGGGUGGUAAAUUUCAUCUAAAGCUAAAUAUUGGCGAGAGACCGAUAGCGAACAAGUACCGUGAGGGAAAGAUGAAAAGAACUUUGAAAAGAGAGUUAAACAGUACGUGAAAUUGUCAAAAGGGAAGCGUUUGACACCAGUGUUGUUUUCUCGAAAAUCAAUUAAAAAUGGCUCGAUUUUGUAUUGCUUGAGACCUUAAAAGCUCACAGUACAUUUUUCGUGUCUUUUUUAAUGCACUUUUCGUUUAACAAGUCAACAUCAGUUUCUUUUGUUGUAAAAGGGUCAUUGGAAGGUGGCUUUCUUUUCGGAGAAAGUGUUUAUAGCCUUUGGCCUCUGCAAUCGGAGAGACUGAGGUCUGCAGCGUAGACUCUUCGGGGUUAGAUACAUUUGUGCUAAGUUAUAGCUUUUUAUAGACAACUUGUUGACUAUAAUUAGUCUUGUAGCUUACUCGCUUAUGCUAUUUUACCUACGCUUAGGAUGUUGAAGAUGUAGCACAUCAU
rnacentral:rRNA from 1 species